CCUACGGGAGGCAGCAGUGAGGAAUCUUGGUCAAUGGGCGCGAGCCUGAACCAGCCAAGUCGCGUGAGGGAAGACGGUCCUAUGGAUUGUAAACUUCUUUUGUCGGGGAGCACGAGACGCCACGCGUGGCGUUCCGAGAGUACCCGAAGAAAAAGCAUCGGCUAACUCCGUGCCAGCAGCCGCGGUAAUACGGAGGAGGCGAGCGUUAUCCGGAUUUAUUGGGGUUAAAGGGUGCGCAGGCGGAAGAUCAAGUCAGCGGUAAAAUUGAGAGGCUUAACCUCAUCGAGCCGUUGAAACUGGUUUACUUGAGUGAAUGAGAGGUAUGCGGAAUGCGUGGUGUAGCGGUGAAAUGCGUAGAUAUCACGCAGAACUCCGAUUGCGAAGGCAGCAUACCGGCGCUCAACUGACGCUCAUGCACGAAAGUGUGGGUAGCGAACAGGAUUAGAUACCCUUGUAGUC
rnacentral:rRNA from 1 species